GAUGAACGCUGGCGGCGUGCCUAAUACAUGCGAGUCGAGCGAACGGACGAGAAGCUUGCUUCUCUGAUGUUAGCGGCGGACGGGUGAGUAACACGUGGAUAACCUACCUAUAAGACUGGGAUAACUUCGGGAAACCGGAGCUAAUACCGGAUAAUAUUUUGAACCGCAUGGUUCAAAAGUGAAAGACGGUCUUGCUGUCACUUAUAGAUGGAUCCGCGCUGCAUUAGCUAGUUGGUAAGGUAACGGCUUACCAAGGCAACGAUGCAUAGCCGACCUGAGAGGGUGAUCGGCCACACUGGAACUGAGACACGGUCCAGACUCCUACGGGAGGCAGCAGUAGGGAAUCUUCCGCACUGGGCGAAAGCCUGACGGAGCAACGCCGCGUGAGUGAUGAAGGUCUUCGGAUCGUAAAACUCUGUUAUUAGGGAAGAACAUAUGUGUAAGUAACUGUGCACAUCUUGACGGUACCUAAUCAGAAAGCCACGGCUAACUACGUG
rnacentral:rRNA from 1 species